rnacentral:rRNA from 1 species
AGUGAACGCUGGCGGUAGGCCUAACACAUGCAAGUCGAACGGCAGCACAGUAGGAGCUUGCUCUUACGGGUGGCGAGUGGCGGACGGGUGAGGAAUACAUCGGAAUCUACUUUUUCGUGGGGGAUAACGUAGGGAAACUUACGCUAAUACCGCAUACGACCUACGGGUGAAAGCAGGGGAUCUUCGGACCUUGCGCGAUUGAAUGAGCCGAUGUCGGAUUAGCUAGUUGGCGGGGUAAAGGCCCACCAAGGCGACGAUCCGUAGCUGGUCUGAGAGGAUGAUCAGCCACACUGGAACUGAGACACGGUCCAGACUCCUACGGGAGGCAGCAGUGGGGAAUAUUGGACAAUGGGCGCAAGCCUGAUCCAGCCAUACCGCGUGGGUGAAGAAGGCCUUCGGGUUGUAAAUCCCUUUUGUUGGGAAAGAAAAGCAGCAGGUUAAUACCCCGCUGUUCUGACGGUACCCAAAGAAUAAGCACCGGCUAACUUCGUG